rnacentral:rRNA from 1 species
UACGUAGGGUGCAAGCGUUGUCCGGAAUUAUUGGGCGUAAAGAGCUCGUAGGCGGUUUGUUGCGUCGGCUGUGAAAACCUGAGGCUCAACCUCAGGCCUGCAGUCGAUACGAGCAGACUAGAGUGUUGCAGGGGAGACUGGAAUUCCUGGUGUAGCGGUGAAAUGCGCAGAUAUCGGGAGGAACACCGGUGGCGAAGGCGGGUCUCUGGGCCGAUACUGACGCUGAGGAGCGAAAGCGUGGGGAGCGAACAGG